rnacentral:rRNA from 1 species
AGUGAACGCUGGCGGUAGGCCUAACACAUGCAAGUCGAACGGCAGCACAGGAGAGCUUGCUCUCUGGGUGGCGAGUGGCGGACGGGUGAGGAAUACGUCGGAAUCUACUCUGUCGUGGGGGAUAACGUAGGGAAACUUACGCUAAUACCGCAUACGACCUACGGGUGAAAGCAGGGGACCUUCGGGCCUUGCGCGAUUGAAUGAGCCGAUGUCGGAUUAGCUAGUUGGCGGGGUAAAGGCCCACCAAGGCGACGAUCCGUAGCUGGUCUGAGAGGAUGAUCAGCCACACUGGAGUUGAGACACGGUCCAGACUCCUACGGGAGGCAGCAGUGGGGAAUAUUGGACAAUGGGCGCAAGCCUGAUCCAGCCAUACCGCGUGGGUGAAGAAGGCCUUCGGGUUGUAAAGCCCUUUUGUUGGGAAAGAAAUCCAGCUGGCUAAUACCCGGUUGGGAUGACGGUACCCAAAGAAUAAGCACCGGCUAACUUCGUGCCAGCAGCCGCAGUAA